UCCAGUUUGUCACUGGCAGUAUCCUUAAAGUUCCCAUCCGAAAUGCUGGCAAGUAAGGAAAAGGGUUGCGCUCGUUGCGGGACUUAACCCAACAUCUCACGACACGAGCUGACGACAGCCAUGCAGCACCUGUAUCUAGAUUCCCGAAGGCACCAAUCCAUCUCUGGAAAGUUUCUAGUAUGUCAAGGCCAGGUAAGGUUCUUCGCGUUGCAUCGAAUUAAACCACAUGCUCCACCGCUUGUGCGGGCCCCCGUCAAUUCAUUUGAGUUUUAGUCUUGCGACCGUACUCCCCAGGCGGUCUACUUAUCGCGUUAGCUGCGCCACUAAAGCCUCAAAGGCCCCAACGGCUAGUAGACAUCGUUUACGGCAUGGACUAC
rnacentral:misc_RNA from 1 species